rnacentral:rRNA from 1 species
AGGACGAACGCUGGCGGCGUGCUUAACACAUGCAAGUCGAACGGAAAGGCCCUGCUUUGUGGGGUGACUCGAGUGGCGAACGGGUGAGUAACACGUGAGUAACCUGCCCUUGACUUUGGGAUAACUUCAGGAAACUGGGGGCUAAUACCGGAUAGGAGCUCCUGCUGCAUGGUGGGGGUUGGAAAGUUUCGGCGGUUGGGGGAUGGACUCGCGGCUUAUCAGCUUGUUGGUGGGGUAGUGGCUUACCAAGGCUUUGACGGGUAGCCGGCCUGAGAGGGUGACCGGCCACAUUGGGACUGAGAUACGGCCCAGACUCCUACGGGAGGCAGCAGUGGGGAAUAUUGCACAAUGGGCGGAAGCCUGAUGCAGCAACGCCGCGUGCGGGAUGACGGCCUUCGGGUUGUAAACCGCUUUCGCCUGUGACGAAGCGUGAGUGACGGUAAUGGGUAAAGAAGCACCGGCUAACUACGUGCCAGCCGCCGC